rnacentral:SRP_RNA from 1 species
GCUGGGCGCGGUGGCUCACGCCUGUAAUCCCAGCACUUUGGGAGGCCGAGGCGGGUGGAUCACCUGAGGUCAGGAGUUCAAGACCAGCCUGGCCAACAUGGUGAAACCCCGUCUCUA